rnacentral:rRNA from 1 species
GACGAACGCUGGCGGCGUGCUUAACACAUGCAAGUCGAACGGUGAUGACGGGGCUUGCCCUGUCUGAUCAGUGGCGAACGGGUGAGUAACACGUGAGUAACCUGCCCUUGACUCUGGGAUAACCCCGGGAAACCGGGGCUAAUACCGGAUAUGACACCGACCCGCAUGGGUACGGUGUGGAAAGUUUUUUCGGUCUGGGAUGGACUCGCGGCCUAUCAGCUUGUUGGUGAGGUAAUGGCUCACCAAGGCGACGACGGGUAGCCGGCCUGAGAGGGCGACAGGCAACACUGGGACUGAGACACGGAGCAGACUCCUACGGGAGGCAGCAGUGGGGAAUGUUGCACAAUGGGCGCAAGCCUGAUGCAGCGACGCCGCGUGAGGGAUGACGGCCUUCGGGUUGUAAACCUCUUUCAGCAGGGAAGAAGCGCAAGUGACGGUACCUGCAGAAGAAGCACCGGCUAACUACGUGCCAGCCGCCGCGGUAACAC